GUUGUCAUCUUUUCAUCUUCCUUCUUCCCCACCCGAAAAUAUCAACAAAGAGGGGGUUUUGAAAGCUCAAAAAUUUCAGCAACUUAUAUCCCUUACAAUGUUUUUAGGUUAGCUCGUGGUCGGAGAUCGUCGGAGGUAGCAUCACACUAUCAAGUCGCUACCUGUAGAAUAAUGAAGUAUAUAUUAGAAAUUUCAAGUGAGUGGCAUGUAUAGGGAUCUAGUUGAUUGACAUGUAUUAUUUUGCUUUGGCCAAAUGUGUUGGCUUAUAAUGAGUUGUAUGUAUAUGGCCAUGAGAUGUGGCUCAUAUUGAUUUUGGCUUGUAAGCCUAGCUAUUCAUGUCAUGUCUAAUGUCUAUAAGGUGAUUAUGUUUGUUUAUGGUUAGUAAUA